rnacentral:rRNA from 1 species
UACGAAGGGUGCAAGCGUUACUCGGAAUUACUGGGCGUAAAGCGUGCGUAGGUGGUUGUUUAAGUCUGUUGUGAAAGCCCUGGGCUCAACCUGGGAAUUGCAGUGGAUACUGGGCAACUAGAGUGUGGUAGAGGGUAGCGGAAUUCCUGGUGUAGCAGUGAAAUGCGUAGAGAUCAGGAGGAACAUCCGUGGCGAAGGCGGCUACCUGGACCAACACUGACCCUGAGGCACGAAAGCGUGGGGAGCAAACAGG